rnacentral:rRNA from 2 species
CCUACGGGAGGCAGCAGUAGGGAAUCUUCCGCAAUGGACGAAAGUCUGACGGAGCAACGCCGCGUGAGUGAUGAAAGCUUUCCGGUCUUAAAACUCUGUUGUUAGGGAAGAACAAGUGCUAGUUGAAUAAGCUGGCACCUUGACGGUACCUAACCAGAAAGCCACGGCUAACUACGUGCCAGCAGCCGCGGUAAU